CAUCCCCUCCUCCUCUCUCAUCUGACGCUCCGGCGAAACCAGCAAUUGGCCGCAAAUCAGCCAAACAUAAUCCCGCCAUCCUCCUCGUUUCCUGGCCACAGCGCCGACUUGUAUGGGAGAGACAACAGGGCAGAACAAAGAAACUGGUAGAGGCUUUGUGUCUUCAUCUGGCUCAGCCACCGCCUCCCCUUGUGUCAGAGAGGAGCAGUGUUUACCACAGUCAGCUAGCACCAUGCUGUCUCUAUUGUUCUGUGUAAUUGCACUCAAUGGACCUUGAGAAGUACACGGGCUCCAGAUGCUCUUCCUCUCUCUUAUGAAUGCUGUCUUCGUGGACACCGAAAAGGAGCCCUCAACACGGAGGCAGCACACCCAGGUACCCAGCGGUGGUGCAGGGUACAUGCUCACAGGCAUGGAUGGCUAACCACUUGAAAGGCAGAAUGGGAUGUGCACGGCCCAGGACCGGAGGGCUCUGCAGCGGGUGACUGAAACCGCU